UACGAAGGGUGCAAGCGUUAAUCGGAAUUACUGGGCGUAAAGGGUGCGUAGGCGGCUCGUUAAGUCUGUCGUGAAAUCCCCGGGCUCAACCUGGGAAUGGCGAUGGAUACUGGCGAGCUAGAGUGUGUCAGAGGAUGGUGGAAUUCCCGGUGUAGCGGUGAAAUGCGUAGAGAUCGGGAGGAACAUCAGUGGCGAAGGCGGCCAUCUGGGACAACACUGACGCUGAAGCACGAAAGCGUGGGGAGCAAACAGG
rnacentral:rRNA from 1 species